GACGAACGCUGGCGGCAUGCUUAACACAUGCAAGUCGAACGGAAAGGCCCUGCUUUUGUGGGGUGCUCGAGUGGCGAACGGGUGAGUAACACGUGAGUAACCUGCCCUUGACUUUGGGAUAACUUCAGGAAACUGGGGCUAAUACCGGAUAGGAGCUCCUGCUGCAUGGUGGGGGUUGGAAAGUUUCGGCGGUUGGGGAUGGACUCGCGGCUUAUCAGCUUGUUGGUGGGGUAGUGGCUUACCAAGGCUUUGACGGGUAGCCGGCCUGAGAGGGUGACCGGCCACAUUGGGACUGAGAUACGGCCCAGACUCCUACGGGAGGCAGAAGUGGGGAAUAUUGCACAAUGGGCGGAAGCCUGAUGCAGCAACGCCGCGUGCGGGAUGACGGCCUUCGGGUUGUAAACCGCUUUCGCCUGUGACGAAGCGUGAGUGACGGUAAUGGGUAAAGAAGCACCGGCUAACUACGUG
rnacentral:rRNA from 1 species